AUGAACGCUGGCGGCGUGCUUAACACAUGCAAGUCGAACGGAAAGGCCCAAGCUUGCUUGGGUACUCGAGUGGCGAACGGGUGAGUAACACGUGGGUGAUCUGCCCUGCACUUCGGGAUAAGCCUGGGAAACUGGGUCUAAUACCGGAUAGGACGAUGGUUUGGCUGCCAUUGUGGAAAGUUUUUUCGGUGUGGGAUGAGCUCGCGGCCUAUUAGCUUGUUGGUGGGGUAAUGGCCUACCAAGGCGUCGACGGGUAGCCGGCCUGAGAGGGUGUAAGGCCACAUUUUGACAGAGAGACGGCCCAGACUCCGACGGGAGGCAGCAGUGGGGAAUAUUGCACAAUGGGCGCAAGCCUGAUGCAGCGACGCCGCGUGUGCGAUGACGGCCUUCGGGUUGUAAACUCCUUUCGCUAGGGACGAAGCGUUUUUGUGACGGUACCUGGAGAAGAAGCACCGGCUAACUACGUG
rnacentral:rRNA from 1 species